rfam:Acinetobacter sp. Ver3 contig00077, whole genome shotgun sequence.
GGCUAUGUAGCUCAGUUGGUUAGAGCACCGCACUCAUAAUGCGGGGGUCACAGGUUCAAGUCCCGUCAUAGCCA